rnacentral:rRNA from 1 species
UACGUAGGCAGCGAGCGUUUGUUCGGAGUUACUGGGCGUAAAGGGUGUGUAGGCGGUUUUCUAAGUUUGGUGUGAAAUCUCCCGGCUCAACCGGGAGGGUGCGCCGAAAACUGGAAGGCUAGAGUGCGGGAUGGGAGAGUAGAAUUCCUGGUGUAGCGGUGAAAUGCGUAGAUAUCAGGAGGAACACCGGUGGCGAAGGCGGGUCUCUGGGCCGAUACUGACGCUGGAGGAGCGAAAGCGUGGGGAGCGAACAGG